rnacentral:rRNA from 2 species
UUAAGCGACUAAGCGUACACGGUGGAUGCCCUGGCAGUCAGAGGCGAUGAAGGACGUGCUAAUCUGCGAUAAGCGUCGGUAAGGUGAUAUGAACCGUUAUAACCGGCGAUUUCCGAAUGGGGAAACCCAGUGUGAUUCGUCACACUAUCAUUAACUGAAUCCAUAGGUUAAUGAGGCGAACCGGGGGAACUGAAACAUCUAAGUACCCCGAGGAAAAGAAAUCAACCGAGAUUCCCCCAGUAGCGGCGAGCGAACGGGGAGCAGCCCAGAGCCUGAAUCAGUGUGUGUGUUAGUGGAAGCGUCUGGAAAGGCGCGCGAUACAGGGUGACAGCCCCGUACACAAAAAUGCACAUGCUGUGAGCUCGAUGAGUAGGGCGGGACACGUGGUAUCCUGUCUGAAUAUGGGGGGACCAUCCUCCAAGGCUAAAUACUCCUGACUGACCGAUAGUGAACCAGUACCGUGAGGGAAAGGCGAAAAGAACCCCGGCGAGGGGAGUGAAAAAGAACCUGAAACCGUGUACGUACAAGCAGUGGGAGCACGCUUAGGCGUGUGACUGCGUACCUUUUGUAUAAUGGGUCAGCGACUUAUAUUCUGUAGCAAGGUUAACCGAAUAGGGGAGCCGAAGGGAAACCGAGUCUUAACUGGGCGUUAAGUUGCAGGGUAUAGACCCGAAACCCGGUGAUCUAGCCAUGGGCAGGUUGAAGGUUGGGUAACACUAACUGGAGGACCGAACCGACUAAUGUUGAAAAAUUAGCGGAUGACUUGUGGCUGGGGGUGAAAGGCCAAUCAAACCGGGAGAUAGCUGGUUCUCCCCGAAAGCUAUUUAGGUAGCGCCUCGUGAAUUCAUCUCCGGGGGUAGAGCACUGUUUCGGCAAGGGGGUCAUCCCGACUUACCAACCCGAUGCAAACUGCGAAUACCGGAGAAUGUUAUCACGGGAGACACACGGCGGGUGCUAACGUCCGUCGUGAAGAGGGAAACAACCCAGACCGCCAGCUAAGGUCCCAAAGUCAUGGUUAAGUGGGAAACGAUGUGGGAAGGCCCAGACAGCCAGGAUGUUGGCUUAGAAGCAGCCAUCAUUUAAAGAAAGCGUAAUAGCUCACUGGUCGAGUCGGCCUGCGCGGAAGAUGUAACGGGGCUAAACCAUGCACCGAAGCUGCGGCAGCGACGCUGAUGCGUUGUUGGGUAGGGGAGCGUUCUGUAAGCCUGCGAAGGUGUGCUGUGAGGCAUGCUGGAGGUAUCAGAAGUGCGAAUGCUGACAUAAGUAACGAUAAAGCGGGUGAAAAGCCCGCUCGCCGGAAGACCAAGGGUUCCUGUCCAACGUUAAUCGGGGCAGGGUGAGUCGACCCCUAAGGCGAGGCCGAAAGGCGUAGUCGAUGGGAAACAGGUUAAUAUUCCUGUACUUGGUGUUACUGCGAAGGGGGGACGGAGAAGGCUAUGUUGGCCGGGCGACGGUUGUCCCGGUUUAAGCGUGUAGGCUGGUUUUCCAGGCAAAUCCGGAAAAUCAAGGCUGAGGCGUGAUGACGAGGCACUACGGUGCUGAAGCAACAAAUGCCCUGCUUCCAGGAAAAGCCUCUAAGCAUCAGGUAACAUCAAAUCGUACCCCAAACCGACACAGGUGGUCAGGUAGAGAAUACCAAGGCGCUUGAGAGAACUCGGGUGAAGGAACUAGGCAAAAUGGUGCCGUAACUUCGGGAGAAGGCACGCUGAUAUGUAGGUGAAGUCCCUCGCGGAUGGAGCUGAAAUCAGUCGAAGAUACCAGCUGGCUGCAACUGUUUAUUAAAAACACAGCACUGUGCAAACACGAAAGUGGACGUAUACGGUGUGACGCCUGCCCGGUGCCGGAAGGUUAAUUGAUGGGGUCAGCGCAAGCGAAGCUCUUGAUCGAAGCCCCGGUAAACGGCGGCCGUAACUAUAACGGUCCUAAGGUAGCGAAAUUCCUUGUCGGGUAAGUUCCGACCUGCACGAAUGGCGUAAUGAUGGCCAGGCUGUCUCCACCCGAGACUCAGUGAAAUUGAACUCGCUGUGAAGAUGCAGUGUACCCGCGGCAAGACGGAAAGACCCCGUGAACCUUUACUAUAGCUUGACACUGAACAUUGAGCCUUGAUGUGUAGGAUAGGUGGGAGGCUUUGAAGUGUGGACGCCAGUCUGCAUGGAGCCGACCUUGAAAUACCACCCUUUAAUGUUUGAUGUUCUAACGUGGACCCGUAAUCCGGGUUGCGGACAGUGUCUGGUGGGUAGUUUGACUGGGGCGGUCUCCUCCUAAAGAGUAACGGAGGAGCACGAAGGUUGGCUAAUCCUGGUCGGACAUCAGGAGGUUAGUGCAAUGGCAUAAGCCAGCUUGACUGCGAGCGUGACGGCGCGAGCAGGUGCGAAAGCAGGUCAUAGUGAUCCGGUGGUUCUGAAUGGAAGGGCCAUCGCUCAACGGAUAAAAGGUACUCCGGGGAUAACAGGCUGAUACCGCCCAAGAGUUCAUAUCGACGGCGGUGUUUGGCACCUCGAUGUCGGCUCAUCACAUCCUGGGGCUGAAGUAGGUCCCAAGGGUAUGGCUGUUCGCCAUUUAAAGUGGUACGCGAGCUGGGUUUAGAACGUCGUGAGACAGUUCGGUCCCUAUCUGCCGUGGGCGCUGGAGAACUGAGGGGGGCUGCUCCUAGUACGAGAGGACCGGAGUGGACGCAUCACUGGUGUUCGGGUUGUCAUGCCAAUGGCACUGCCCGGUAGCUAAAUGCGGAAGAGAUAAGUGCUGAAAGCAUCUAAGCACGAAACUUGCCCCGAGAUGAGUUCUCCCUGACUCCUUGAGAGUCCUGAAGGAACGUUGAAGACGACGACGUUGAUAGGCCGGGUGUGUAAGCGCAGCGAUGCGUUGAGCUAACCGGUACUAAUGAACCGUGAGGCUUAACCUU